rnacentral:rRNA from 1 species
UACGUAGGGGGCUAGCGUUGUCCGGAAUCAUUGGGCGUAAAGAGCGUGUAGGCGGCCCGGUAAGUCCGCUGUGAAAGUCGGGGGCUCAACCCUCGAAUGCCGGUGGAUACUGUCGGGCUAGAGUGCGGAAGAGGCGAGUGGAAUUCCUGGUGUAGCGGUGAAAUGCGCAGAUAUCGAGAGGAACACCUGCGGCGAAGGCGGGUUGCUGGGCUGAUACUGACGCUGAGGCGCGAAAGCCAGGGGAGCGAACGGG